UACGUAGGGACCAAGCGUUGUUCGGAUUUACUGGGCGUAAAGGGCGCGUAGGCGGCAAAUUAAGUCAGCUGUGAAAUCUCCGGGCUUAACUCGGAACUGUCAGCUGAUACUGAUGUGCUAGAGUGCGGAAGGGGCAAUCGGAAUUCUUGGUGUAGCGGUGAAAUGCGUAGAUAUCAAGAGGAACACCUGAGGUGAAGACGGGUUGCUGGGCCGACACUGACGCUGAGUGCGCGAAAGCCAGGGGAGCAAACGGG
rnacentral:rRNA from 1 species